AGUGCUGAAGCUGGAAUUAGGCCUUCCUACCUGGCCGCAAGCAGCAGACACCAUGUGGGGUCUCGUCCGUACAAAUGUAUAGCUUGGAAGAGCAGGCAGGAUCCUGUGCUCCUCAGGCAGGCUGGGUCCAGGGGCAGAGGGAAGGAGUAGAUUGCUGAGUUAUGCAGGCCAGCUCCUUCCCUGAACCUAUAACACAGGUUACUUCUUUGCCCAUGGCAAAGGGUAAGUGAGGAGGUAGACAGAAGCUAGAAAUGUUACAUUAAUGGUGUUCCCUGCAUGUAGGAGGAAAUAUCAGAAGUUGGGAACAAAUGUUUCCUGUUAGUUUACCUCAGUUUUUGAUUCCCUAACCCACUGGGCUUGACCAUUAAGCCUACAGUCAGUAUAGGCUGACCCCUAGGGGGAUGAACAGUCCUUGGGGGAAGCUCUGCUCUCAUUUUUAAGACCACCUUCCCAAAAACAAUGUUUGCUUUUUCUGAAUCUUCCUUGAAGCCCUUGAUGGUGCCGUAGACUUGACCCCAGGAGGUGGCCGUGUGUUUCGGAGGGGGGUGUCCUGAGAUGAAGGGACCGGGACCCUGCACAGACCCUCGCCCUCAUAAUGAUGUUCUAUGACAAGAACCAGUGACCAUUUUUUUACACUGUUGAGCUACUGCAAUUUCAGGGUUCAUUUGUGAUGUUGGCAUUACUUAACCUAUCUUGAUGAGCAAUGUGAAUUGUGCCUGCUAGGAUUAUGCAACUUGAUGGCCCUGAGAGAUGUUCCAAUAACCGUCUGCUAACAAAAUGGAGAUGUCCCUGUGAUGUGGUUUGACUGUGUCCCCACCCAAAUCUUAUCUUGAAUUAUAG
rnacentral:lncRNA from 1 species